UUUGCAAGGAGGUGGGCAAGUAGCCUGAGUUGGGAGAUGACAAGCUAGACGCAUGAGGACAGUGGUCUGUGGUAUCAUGGGUGCAGCUUUCCCUGGAGGCACGUAGCUGGGCUGGAUAGCUUCUUGAAACCUACACUUGCCCUCUGGUUUGGUAAAGUUACCUGGAUUUUAUGGAUGGAUAGUUCCCAAAGUAUGACGUUUAAGGGUAACCUGAAAUUCCCCUGUGUGGAAGAAGUAAGUUCAUUCCUUCAAAGGACAUGCAAACAUUUCUGCCUUUCCGGAUAUGAGGAGGAGGAUUAUUUAAGGACAGAUAAAAGGAAGAAUCUGUUAAACUAACUUACCUGGUUUUAUAUUGACCUCUUCUGACCAGCUCCUGAAUUCGUUGGCAAUUUUGGUGAUAGUCUGAGUCAGAAUGAGGCCCCAAAGCCUUUCAGCUCUUCAUUUUGUGCAGGAGCCUUCCGGCCACCUCUGUUCUGAAGUCUGGGAAGUUCAAGGUCAAGGUGGCAGCAGAUUCGAUGUCUCCUGGCUCGUGGAAUGGCAGCUUCUCCUGGUGUCCUCGCAGGAUGGAAAGGGUGCAGAAGCUUCCUUUGGCCUUUUUAUAAGCGCACUAAUCCCAUUCAUGACCUAGUCACCUCUCAACACCAACACCUUGGUUAGGAUUUCAACACAUGAAUUUUGGGCGGACUUUCAGACCAUGGCACCUGGCAUUUUCCUUUCUCUUGCUUAGAUCUGCCACCGGCUGAAGCCCAUUGGAAGUCUGAUUUUACAGGUGUCAGCCCCCUUGAGUGCCAAGCAAAGCAAGGGAAAGCAGAGAAUGGCUCUGAGGGUAAACAGGUAAACAUCACACACAUCCAUGAACUCAUGCAAACACAAAAUCUCACCAACAUUUUGAGAAAAAUUUAAA